ACCCCUGAGAGAUGUCUCAGUUGGUAGAGCAUGAGCAUCUUAAUCUCAGGGUCGUGGGAUCAAGCCCCACAUUGGGCA